rnacentral:rRNA from 1 species
UACGUAGGGUGCGAGCGUUGUCCGGAAUUACUGGGCGUAAAGAGCUCGUAGGUGGUUUGUCGCGUUGUCCGUGAAAACUCACAGCUUAACUGUGGGCGUGCGGGCGAUACGGGCAGACUGGAGUACUGCAGGGGAGACUGGAAGUUCCUGGUGUAGCGGUGGAAUGCGCAGAUAUCAGGAGGAACACCGGUGGCGAAGGCGGGUCUCUGGGCAGUAACUGACGCUGAGGAGCGAAAGCGUGGGGAGCGAACAGG